UACGUAGGGGGCUAGCGUUGUCCGGAUUUAUUGGGCGUAAAGCGCGUGUAGGCGGCCAGGUAGGUCUGCUGUGAAAACUCGAGGCUCAACCUCGAGAUGUCGGCGGAAACCAUCUGGCUAGAGUCCGGAAGAGGAGAGUGGAAUUUACGGUGUAGCAGUGAAAUGCGUAGAGAUCGUAAGGAAGACCAGUUGCGAAGGCGGGUCUCUGGACAGUUCCUGACACUGAGGCACGAAGGCCAGGGGAGCAAACGGG
rnacentral:rRNA from 1 species